rnacentral:rRNA from 1 species
GACGAACGCUGGCGGCGUGCUUAACACAUGCAAGUCGAGCGGUAAGGCCCUUUCGGGGGUACACGAGCGGCGAACGGGUGAGUAACACGUGGGUGACCUGCCCUCAGCUCUGGGAUAAGCCCGGGAAACUGGGUCUAAUACCGGAUAUGACUCCACGGUGCAUGUCGUGGGGUGGAAAGCCUUGUGCGGCUGAGGAUGGGCCCGCGGCCUAUCAGCUUGUUGGUGGGGUGAUGGCCUACCAAGGCGACGACGGGUAGCCGGCCUGAGAGGGCGACCGGCCACACUGGGACUGAGACACGGCCCAGACUCCUACGGGAGGCAGCAGUGGGGAAUCUUGCGCAAUGGGCGAAAGCCUGACGCAGCGACGCCGCGUGAGGGAUGAC